UCGGGAAUAUUGCGCAAUGGAGGAAACUCUGACGCAGUGACGCCGCGUAUAGGAAGAAGUUUUUCGGAAUGUAAACUAUUGUCGUUAGGGAAGAGAAAGGACAGUACCUAAGGAGGAAGCUCCGGCUAACUACGUGCCAGCAGCCGCGGUAAUACGUAGGGAGCGAGCGUUAUCCGGAAUUAUUGGGUGUAAAGGGUGCGUAGACGGGAGAGCAAGUUAGUUGUGAAAUCCCUCGGCUUAACUGAGGAACUGCAACUAAACUACUUUUCUUGAGUGCAGGAGAGGUAAGUGGAAUUCCUAGUAUAGCGGUGAAAUGCGUAGAUAUUAGGAGGAACACCAGUGGCGAAGGCGACUUACUGGACUGUAACUGACGUUGAGGCACGAAAGUGUGGGGAGCAAACAGGAUUAGAUACC
rnacentral:rRNA from 1 species